rnacentral:rRNA from 1 species
GACGAACGCUGGCGGCGUGCUUAACACAUGCAAGUCGAACGGAAAGGCCCUGCUUUUGUGGGGUGCUCGAGUGGCGAACGGGUGAGUAACACGUGAGUAACCUGCCCUUGACUUUGGGAUAACUUCAGGAAACUGGGGCUAAUACCGGAUAGGAGCUCCUGCGGCAUGGUGGGGGUUGGAAAGUUUCGGCGGUUGGGGAUGGACUCGCGGCUUAUCAGCUUGUUGGUGGGGUAGUGGCUUACCAAGGCUUUGACGGGUAGCCGGCCUGAGAGGGUGACCGGCCACAGUGGGACUGAGAUACGGCCCAGAGGCCUACGGGAGGCAGCGGUGGGGAAUAUUGCACAAUGGGCGGAAGCCUGAUGCAGCAACGCCGCGUGCGGGAUGACGGCCUUCGGGUUGUAAACCGCUUUCGCCUGUGACGAAGAGUGAGUGACGGUAAUGGGUAAAGAAGCACCGGCUAACUACGUG